AAAGCAGGUUGCAAUUACAGUGCUUCAUUUUGUGGAAGUACUGCCAUUAUCCUGCUGAAAGAAAAGUCAUGUUGAUUGUUUUUGAUUUUUGCCUUUAUGAGGGUAAAAUCAUGACAUUUUGACAUGGACAGUU
ensembl:snoRNA